rnacentral:rRNA from 1 species
CGGGGGGGCAAGCGUUGUUCGGAAUUACUGGGCGUAAAGGGUUCGUAGGUGGCCGACUAAGUCAGACGUGAAAUCCCUCAGCUUAACUGGGGAACUGCGUCUGAGACUGGCCGGCUCGAGGGCAGGAGAGGAACGUGGAAUUCCAGGUGUAGCGGUGAAAUGCGUAGAUAUCUGGAGGAACACCGGUGGCGAAGGCGGCGUUCUGGACUGCAUCUGACACUGAGGAACGAAAGCCAGGGGAGCAAACGGGAUUAGAUACCCCCGUAGUCCUGGCCCUAAACGAUGAAUGCUUGGUGUGGCGGGUAUCGAUCCCUGCCGUGCCGCAGUUAACGCGUUAAGCAUUCCGCCUGGGGAGUACGGUCGCAAGGCUG